UUGCUGGACGUGAUUGGACCUGUAAGAAAAUAUUUUUAAUGCUCACAAUAAUAAGCUUAUUAUGAGUCAGCACUAAACGUGUGCACAUGCAUACAUAAAUUGUCUACAUCAGCAAAAAAAGCUUAUCGUCGUACUUCUCUGACCAACAUCAACGGAACCCCCGAACCCACAGAGAGCAUCCAUUUUGGAUUCCCCGAAGACCCUUCGUUCCUGCAUCCUCUUCUGCUCUCCUUUUCUCAGCCUCUUCUGCUGGAAGCUGAGUCCUGCUCCAGAUCUAGGCAAGUGCUAGCGCGGAAAAAAGACCUGCCUCGCUCAGGGCUAUGAGCCGCGCCCUGAAGCACGGAAAGCUAAUUGUGUCACUGGUUUCAAAUCAACCUCAAUUUUUUUGGAGACGUUAGAGUGCUGAACAUGUUUUCUUCAGUGAAGUGACUUGGCAGCCCAAGUCGCCCACGCCCGUCUCUGUGGCGCAAUCGGUUAACGCAUUCGGCUGUUUAUCGAAAGGCUGGUGGUUCGAUCCCACCCAGGGAGAAAAGUCCCGUUUUGUGAACCUUGGGUGUUUGAAACUUUCACUGAAAAAAACCGCUUGCGAUGCUAUCCGCCGGGAGCGCUGGAGCCUUGGCUCUCAAAACCAGCCGCGGUGCUAACCGCCGGGAGCCCUGGCAGCUGACCUCCGCGUUGUGUGGUUCCCAAUGUCCUCUUCUGCCUUAGUGCUGUACGGGUAAUUUUGAGGUAUUUGGUUUUUCCGACUAGGGUUGUAGUGAUAACUCUUAGCUGCUUAACCACGGCAAUUACGUUAUGGAAACUGACACUUUAAGAAAAUUUACUGACCAAAGGAAGUAAGUACUAAUAAUACCAAAACGAAUUGUUUGUCUUUCCACCAAACCUGUACCUGCCUUGCCUUUCUAUUUCCUAACUCAGAAAACGGGCACUAUGUGUGGAACCUGGUCCGUAGUCACGCCGUGUACUGCUGGCUGCCAAUUCUUGGAGAGUCGGCCUCCUAAAUACCUUGUUGAUUAAGCACCUUCCUCUCCAGCCUCACCGCCAGUUACUUCCUCAUUGCUCCCUUUGGGUUACUGCAUCCUGCCUUGCUGCCCUAUCUGGCUUCCGGUCUUCAACUCUCCUGUCCCGUCCAUCCAUCAAGUAGCUGCCAGAGAAUCCUUCUAAAAUACUAUACGAAAUAAAGCUUCUCCGGGGAAUGACCCUGUGUUGUUCAUCUGGUAUCUUCAGCACCUGAACUCAAGCUUGCACAUUGUAGGUAGUAAAUAAAUGUGAGUUGAAUGUCCAA